CAAGGCAGGUGCUAAUAUUGUAUAACAAUCGAAACCGCCGGUUUCGGUUUGAAAGGCGCUUUUGCGUCACUGAUGGAUGGACCCGCGGUGCAUUAGCUAGUUGGUGAGGUAACGGCUCACCAAGGCAACGAUGCAUAGCCUACCUGAGAGGGUGAUCGGCCACAUUGGGACUGAGACACGGCCCAAACUCCUACGGGAGGCAGCAGUAGGGAAUCUUCGGCAAUGGACGCAAGUCUGACCGAGCAACGCCGCGUGAGUGAAGAAGGUUUUCGGAUCGUAAAACUCUGUUGUUAGAGAAAAACAAGGAUGAGAGUAGAAUGUUCAUCCCUUGACGGUAUCUAACCAGAAAGCCACGGCUAACUACGUGCCAGCAGCCGCGGUAAUACGUAAGUGGCAAGCGUUGUCCGGAUUUAUUGGGCGUAAAGCGAGCGCAGGCGGUUUCUUAAGUCUGAUGUGAAAGCCCCCGGCUCAACCGGGGAGGGUCAUUGGAAACUGGGAAACUUGAGUGCAGAAGAGGAGAGUGGAAUUCCAUGUGUAGCGGUGAAAUGCGUAGAUAUAUGGAGGAACACCAGUGGCGAAGGCGGCUCUCUGGUCUGUAACUGACGCUGAGGCUCGAAAGCGUGGGGAGCAUACAGGAUUAGAUACCCUGGUAGUCCACGCCGUAAACGAUGAGUGCUAAAUGUUGGAGGGUUUCCGCCCUUCACUGCUGCAACUAACGCAUUAAGCACUCCGCCUGGGGAGUACGACCGCAAGGUUGAAACUCAAAGGAAUUGACGGGGGCCCGCACAAGCGGUGGAUCAUGUGGUUUAAUUCUAACAACGCGAAGAACCUUACCAGGUCUUGACAUCCUUUGACCACUCUAGAGAUAGAGCCUCCCCUUCGGGGCCAAGCUGACAAGGUGGUGCCAUGGAUUGUCGUCAGCCUCGUGUCGUGAAGAUGUUAGGGGUUAGGUCCACGCAUCGAGCCUCAACCCCUUAUUGGUUAAGAUUGUCAUCAUUUAAAUUUGGGCACCUCCUAACCGAGCACUGGCUCGGUUAACUAACGGCAGGAAAGGGUGGGGAUGACGUCAAAUCAUCAUGCUCCUUAUGACCUGGGCCGUACGCCAGUGCCUGCAUGGCGAAGUCCACCGAAUUGCCC
rnacentral:rRNA from 1 species